UAAGCGGAGGAAAAGAAACCAACAGGGAUUGCCCUAGUAACGGCGAGUGAAGCGGCAACAGCUCAAAUUUGAAAUCUGGCUCUUUUAGAGUCCGAGUUGUAAUUUGCAGAGGGCGCUUUGGCUUUGGCAGCGGUCCAAGUUCCUUGGAACAGGACGUCACAGAGGGUGAGAAUCCCGUACGUGGUCGCUGGCUAUUGCCGUGUAAAGCCCCUUCGACGAGUCGAGUUGUUUGGGAAUGCAGCUCUAAAUGGGAGGUACAUUUCUUCUAAAGCUAAAUAUUGGCCAGAGACCGAUAGCGCACAAGUAGAGUGAUCGAAAGAUGAAAAGCACUUUGGAAAGAGAGUCAAACAGCACGUGAAAUUGUUGAAAGGGAAGCGCUUGCAGCCAGACUUGCUUACAGUUGCUCAUCCGGGUUUCUACCCGGUGCACUCUUCUGUAGGCAGGCCAGCAUCAGUUUGGGCGGUAGGAUAAAGGUCUCUGUCACGUACCUCCUUUCGGGGAGGCCUUAUAGGGGAGACGACAUACUACCAGCCUGGACUGAGGUCCGCGCAUCUGCUAGGAUGCUGGCGUAAUGGCUGUAAGCGGCCCGUCUUGAAACACGGACCAAGGAGUCUAACAUCUAUGCGAGUGUUUGGGUGUCAAGCCCGAGCGCGUAAUGAAAGUGAACGGAGGUGGGAACCCGCAAGGGUGCACCAUCGACCGAUCCUGAUGUCUUCGGAAGGAUUUGAGUAAGAGCAUGGCUGUUGGGACCCGAAAGAUGGUGAACUAUGCUUGAAUAGGGUGAAGCCAGAGGAAACUCUGGUGGAGGCUCGCAGCGGUUCUGACGUGCAAAUCGAUCGUCAAAUUUGGGCAUAGGGGCGAAAGACUAAUCGAACUAUCUAGUAGCUGGUUCCUGCCGAAUUU
rnacentral:rRNA from 1 species